CACACACACACACACACACACUCAAAAGACACUCUUAUAUACGGAAAACACUCGUAAACACACUCAAAACACCUCUACACACAUCCAAAACAUGCCAACCCAAACACACACACACAGCCAUGAACACUCAAAAGACACUCUUAUAUACUGAAAACACUCGUAAACACACUCAAAACACCCACACACACAUCCAAAACAUGUCUAUAUACACCCAAACACACACAACCAUAAACACUCAAAAGACACUCUUAUGUACCGAAAAAACUCGUAAACACACUCAAAACAUCCCCACACACAUCCUAAACAUUCUUAUAUACACCCAAAUACACACACACACACACACACACACACAGUGAAGUGAAGUGUUGCUAUGUUACCGAGAGUUUUCAAGAAGCGCCAAUCACCAAACAAAACAAGCAGUCCAAACCUUCACCACAAGCCCCUACACUGCCUUAUCUUCAUCAAUUAAAGGCUCAAACGUGUAUAUGGAAGCAAUGGAAGGAAGAAGAAGGAGAAAUAAAGGAGGACGAAGAAGAAGAAACGAGAAAUAGAGGCGGAAUAGGAGAAGGAGCCAAGGUGUAAUAUUUAGGUUGUGACGAGGAGAGGUGGAAGGGCAUCCUCUACGUACACACACGUGGACAGCGCAGCCCGCCUCGCAGCCCCGCGGAACACCAAGGAUACUGAAGGACAGGCAGCUUAUCACACCCCUGCUCUGACACGCUCCUCUCUCGCUAUGACUGUUCUCCAAGGCCACAGAAAUCACCAAAAAAGUUUCUCAAGAGUGUUUCGUGUGCAAAUACUGUUCUCAUCAAAACUGUAACAACAACCUUAACUUAUUUAUUUAUUUAUUCAUUUAUUCAGAUGAUUAUAUGCAACACUUCCUU